rnacentral:rRNA from 1 species
AUGCAAGUCGAACGAAUCCCUGGGGGCUUGCUCUCAGGGGGAAGUGGCGAAAGGGGCAGUAAGGCGUGGGUAACCUACCCCGGGGACCGGGAUAGCCCUCCUAACGGAGGGGUAAUACCGGGCGAGGUGUUUGGAGGGCAUCCCCCGAACACGAAAUGAAUCUCGCCUUGGGAGGGGCUCACGUGGUAUUAGCUGGUUGGUGAGGUAACGGCUCACCAAGGCUCAGAUGCCUAGCGGGUGUGAGAGCACGACCCGCGCCACUGGCACUGAGACACUGGCCAGACUCCUACGGGAGGCUGCAGUCGAGGAUCUUCGGCAAUGGGCGCAAGCCUGACCGAGCGACGCCGCGUGUGCGAUGAAGGCCUUCGGGUUGUAAAGCACUGUCGAGGGGGAGGAAGGCCCGCAAGGGUCUGACCUAUCCCUGGAGGAAGCACGGGCUAAGUUCGUGCCAGCAGCCGCGGUAAGACGAACCGUGCGAACGUUGUUCGGAUUCACUGGGCUUAAAGGGCGCGUAGGCGGGUGGUCAAGUCAGGGGUGAAAGCCCACGGCCCAACCGUGGAAGUGCCUCUGAUACUGAUCGUCUUGAGGGAGGUAGGGGCAUGCGGAACUUCCGGUGGAGCGGUGAAAUGCGUAGAUAUCGGA